AGUGAACGCUGGCGGUAGGCCUAACACAUGCAAGUCGAACGGCAGCACAGUAAGAGCUUGCUCUUACGGGUGGCGAGUGGCGGACGGGUGAGGAAUACAUCGGAAUCUACUUUUUCGUGGGGGAUAACGUAGGGGAAAUUACCGCUAAUACCGCAAAGGCCUUCGGGGGGAAGCAAGGGGAUUUUCGGACUUUGCCGGUUUGACGGAGCCGAUGUCGGAUUAGCUAGUUGGCGGGGUAAAGGCCCACCAAGGCGACGAUCCGUAGCUGGUCUGAGAGGAUGAUCAGCCACACUGGAACUGAGACACGGUCCAGACUCCUACGGGAGGCAGCAGUGGGGAAUAUUGGACAAUGGGCGCAAGCCUGAUCCAGCCAUACCGCGUGGGUGAAGAAGGCCUUCGGGUUGUAAAGCCCUUUUGUUGGGAAAGAAAAGCAGCAGGUUAAUACCCCGCUGUUCUGACGGUACCCAAAGAAUAAGCACCGGCUAACUUCGU
rnacentral:rRNA from 1 species